GAGUUCAUGACAAAAUAAUGGAAAAGAACUUACAAGAAGACAAAGUAGAUUCGAAGAUGAAUGUAGCUGAUCUUUUCACGAAAUUGGUAGUCGAAGCCCUCUACAAAACAUUGAUAACACAACUAGGGAUGAAGAAAAUACACUAGGAAACAAUAAUAAAAAGAAGAAGCAACGAUUUCUUCGAUCAAAAAAAAGAAGAGAAAGGUAAACCUUUGUUCCUCGCAUCCCUCUGCCAAAAACCCUAGAAGACUAGCUAACAACCACGACCGACAACUUUCAAAAACUGACCCUACAUCAUUUAAACCAAUUACC
rnacentral:lncRNA from 1 species